rnacentral:rRNA from 1 species
AGAGUUUGAUCAUGGCUCAGAUUGAACGCUGGCGGCAUGCUUUACACAUGCAAGUCGAACGGCAGCGCGGGGCAACCUGGCGGCGAGUGGCGAACGGGUGAGUAAUAUAUCGGAACGUACCCAGAAGUGGGGGAUAACGUAGCGAAAGUUACGCUAAUACCGCAUACGAUCUACGGAUGAAAGUGGGGGACCUUCGGGCCUCAUGCUUUUGGAGCGGCCGAUAUCUGAUUAGCUAGUUGGUGAGGUAAAGGCUCACCAAGGCGACGAUCAGUAGCUGGUCUGAGAGGACGACCAGCCACACUGGGACUGAGACACGGCCCAGACUCCUACGGGAGGCAGCAGUGGGGAAUUUUGGACAAUGGGCGCAAGCCUGAUCCAGCAAUGCCGCGUGAGUGAAGAAGGCCUUCGGGUUGUAAAGCUCUUUUGUCAGGGAAGAAACGGCCGAGGUUAAUACCUUUGGCUAAUGACGGUACCUGAAGAAUAAGCACCGGCUAACUACGUGCCAGCAGCCGCGGUAAUACGUAGGGUGCAAGCGUUAAUCGGAAUUACUGGGCGUAAAGCGUGCGCAGGCGGUUUUGUAAGUCUGUCGUGAAAUCCCCGAGCUUAACUUGGGAAUUGCGAUGGAGACUGCAAGGCUGGAGUCUGGCAGAGGGGGGUAGAAUUCCACGUAGCAGUGAAAUGCGUAGAGAUGUGGAGGAACACCGAUGGCGAAGGCAGCCCCCUGGGUCAAGACUGACGCUCAUGCACGAAAGCGUGGGGAGCAAACAGGAUUAGAUACCCUAGUAGUCC